GACGAACGCUGGCGGCGUGCCUAAUACAUGCAAGUAGAACGCAGUUGCGAACGGGUGAGUAACGCGUAGGUAACUGCCUCAUAGCGGGGGAUAACUAUUGGAAACGAUAGCUAAUACCCCCUUCUGUGAGAUGGACCUGCUUUGUAUUAGCUAGUUGGUGGGGUAAAGGCUCACCAAGGCGACGAUACAUAGCCGACCUGAGAGGGUGAUCGGCCACACUGGGACUGAGACACGGCCCAGACUCCUACGGGAGGCAGCAGUAGGGAAUCUUCGGCAAUGGAGGGAAGUCUGACCAAGCAACGCCGCGGGAGUGAAGAAGGUUUUCGGAUCGUAAAGCUAUGUUGUUAGAGAAGCGGUAACUAAAGAGAAAGGGACGGCUAACUACGUGCCAGCAGCCGCGGUAAUUG
rnacentral:rRNA from 1 species